rnacentral:lncRNA from 1 species
GCCCUGCCCCGGCGGGGGGUCAGGAUCCUCCACAGUUCCUGAUGAAUAUCUGUUAUCGCUGAAGUUUCUCUUUGGCUCAUCAGCCACCCAGGCCUUGGACCUAGUUGAUCGACAGUCCAUCACCUUAAUCUCAUCACCCAGUGGAAGGCGUGUUUACCAGGUCCUUGGAAGUUCCAGUAAAACAUACACAUGUUUGGCUUCUUGUCAUUACUGUUCAUGUCCUGCAUUUGCAUUCUCAGUGCUACGGAAGAGUGACAGCAUCCUGUGCAAGCAUCUCUUGGCAGUUUACCUGAGUCAGGUUAUGAGGACCUGUCAGCAGCUAAGUGUCUCUGACAAGCAGUUGACUGACAUAUUAUUGAUGGAGAAGAAACAAGAAGCAUAAAAGGUACAGAUUGAGCAUCAUUCUUUCAAAAUAGAAUCCUGUCAAGAAAUGCAUUGAAAGCGUCAUGAUUCACAUGGAAAAGAGGUGAAAUGGAUCUUCAGACACUUCAUGUUACUGUCCCUUUUCCCUCCAGGACUGCAGGAGGUGCUGUGGGUUGGAGCCGUGGGCUGUGGAGGGUUUGUGUAUGAUGAGAAGCCCUGUACAGUCUUGUCAAGAAAUACCCUGAGCCAGUCUCUGAGACGCUUCGGUAAAAAAUGUCCCUGGAUGGAAUCAAGAUUUUAAAUUCAAAUAAAGCCUAAUAUCAUGUUGUGUCCACAUUAUUUAGUCUUUUUUUUUUUCUUUUGAGAUGGAGUCUCACUUUGUCGCCCAGGCUGGGGUGCAGUGGCGUGAUCUCAGCUCACUGCAAGCUCCGCCUCCCGGGUUCACGCCAUUCUCCUGCCUCAGCCUCCCGAGUAGCUGGGACUACAGGUACCCGCCACCAUGCCCGGCUAAAUUUUUGUAUUUUUUUUUUAGUAGAGAUGGGGUUUCACCGUGUUAGCCAGGAUGGUCUCCAUCUCCUGACCUAGUGGUCUGCCCGCCUCGACCUCCCAAAGUGCUGGAAUUACAUGCAUGAGCCACUGCGCCUGACCCUAUUUAGUCUUAAGUAACUAACUGAAUUACUAGUAAUUUUUAAAAGGUUGGAAUGGUGGGCCAAACAGUAAGAUGAAGUUUCGACGAGUAGGUCAGUUCUUUUCCUUGGGUCCAGGAAACUAUUGAGCAGCAACAGAAGAUCAGAGCAGAGAUGUGGCUAAACAGUAGCAGGUAUGAAAAGACUUAGAGGUUCUGGUUUCUGUAAGCUUCAAAUAUCUGUGAUGCUUGUGCCAAAACAGCUUAAGUAGACUGUAUUGUUUGAGAGUUAGUAUCGAGAACAAGGGAAGAACUGGUUUCACUCUGCACUUCUGAUCUUUACAACAGGGCAAUUGAAGGAACAGACUAAAAAUCGUGUCCUGGAAGGAAACUACAGGUACUACCAGGGAUUUUCAGUCUGAAGAAGAAAAGACAAAAUAGAUGACAGAAGGAGUAUUAGAAGGGAGAGCGAUGAGACUCAGUUGGACACCGAGAGAGCAAAGAAGCAAUAAUACGUGAAGAUGAAAAUGAAAUCAAUUUCAGCAUAAGAAGACAAGAACUUAUGGUAAAGCUGCCCACAGCCAGAAGAGGAUCCUAGAAGGACAGGAAUUCCCUGUCUGCAGCAUUUCAUAAGCAUGUAAUAUUGUUGCAGGGAUACUGCAGAAGGAGUUGAAGCAGUGGACAGACAGAUGAUAUAGGUGAUUUUACAGCCUAAGAAAGCCCUGUGCUUGUGCCCCCAAAACAUGAGGUGCUAGUGAAUGAAUGCUGGGGGAAAGCCCAGGGCCUAGGUGUUGCAAUGUUCUGUGGUUGGCAGAUGCUUUUUGUUUUGUUAAAAAGUGCAACAGAUAAAAUUUAUCAAUACUUUUCUGCUACUCAGGAAA